CCGACUAUCACCACUAUCGGCGAUCAACAUACUUUUUCUAGGUAGCGACAACCAAUAUUGGCAUCCCCUAAUGCUACCAACUCAACACAAUGUCAUCCUGUCCGUGCAUAAGACAUGCACUAACACUUCACACACUCACACCUGUAACGUUCCCUUGCCAACUCUCACAUUUAUAGCAGCUAUACCAACCCAUAUACAGCUUAUACUCUCACACCACACAGCUACACCACUCAUCCCCUCUCCCUACACAGAGAACCCCCACACCUCUAUUCCGACACUACAUUC
rnacentral:lncRNA from 1 species